UACGAAGGGGGCUAGCGUUGUUCGGAAUUACUGGGCGUAAAGCGCGCGCAGGCGGCUAUCCAAGUCAGUGGUGAAAGCCCGGAGCUCAACUCCGGAACUGGCCAUUGAAACUGUUUAGCUUGAGGACGAGAGAGGUGAGUGGAAUUCCCAGUGUAGAGGUGAAAUUCGUAGAUAUUGGGAAGAACGCCGGUGGCGAAGGCGGCCCACUGGUCCGGUACUGACGCUGAGGUGCGAAAGCGUGGGGAGCAAACGGAUUGAGAAACCGUGUAGUC
rnacentral:rRNA from 1 species